rnacentral:rRNA from 1 species
UUUAUUGGAGAGUUUGAUCCUGGCUCAGGAUGAACGCUGGCCAUAAUGCAAGUCGAGCGAAUGGAUUGAGAGCUUGCUCUCAAGAAGUU